UACGUAGGGUGCAAGCGUUGUCCGGAAUUAUUGGGCGUAAAGCGCACGUAGGUGGUUUGUUAUGUCGGAUGUGAAAGCCCUCGGCUCAACUGAGGAAGUGCAUCCGAAACUGGCAAGCUAGAGUAUGUAAGAGGGUCGCGGAAUUCCCGGUGUAGAGGUGAAAUUCGUAGAUAUCGGGAGGAACACCGGUGGCGAAGGCGGCGACCUGGGACAAUACUGACACUGAGGUGCGAAAGCGUGGGGAGCAAACAGG
rnacentral:rRNA from 1 species